rnacentral:RNase_P_RNA from 2 species
GAAGUAGGACAGAUGGUCGCUGCCGCAGGGCCGAAAGGCGGCGGGAGAGGAAAGUCCGGGCUUCACAGGGCAAGAUGCCAGAUAACGUCUGGCGGAGGCGACUCCAGGGACAGUGCAACAGAAAUAUACCGCCGGCAGAACCGGUAAGGGUGGAAGGGCAGUGUAAGAGACUACCGCCCGUCUGGCAACAGACGGGGCAUAUGUAAACCCCAUCUGAAGCAAGACCGAACAGAAAGCAUAAGGCGGCCCGUCUGCUUUCGGGUAGGUUGCUUGAGCCGAACGGUGACGUUCGGCCUAGAUAGAUGACCAUCUAAGACAUAACCCGGCUUAUCGUCCUGCUUUUCGU